GCCAGGGUCAAUCUAGCAGAGGGGGCACACACGGCCAAGGGUACCUAGUUACCGCGAUGCUCUGCCUCGGGAAGGUCUGAGAUAAAGUCGUCUCUCUUCGUUUUCGAAGGGAGGGACGCUCUAGAAGGGUGAUCUUGUAAAUAGGAUGCGAGGAAACCAGAAACAGCGGUGAACCAGCCUCUGUCGCCGUGGACGCCAAAUUUCUCUUCAUCCUUCCUCUCCUCCCCUUCUCCCUUUAAUGUUUGCCUCAUUUUCACGUUUCCUCUCCAACUUGGGUCCCUCUUAACCUUCUCUCUCUCUCUGUCUCCGCCUCCCUUAACCUCUCAUUCCUUGCGAGAUAAGGGUGCGGAGGAAACCUUGGCAGAGGUCGGCUGGUCAUACCGAUGGAAAUUCCCGCGACUCGCAAUUUCAGUACAAUCUGCAAGCCACCCCUCGGUGUGUCUACGUAUCCUCGUAUAUAUCCGUGGAAGGGACGUCUCGAAAGUGGAAGGAGAGGGGUGGAACUCAAUUCAGACUAAUCUGACUCUGGC
rnacentral:RNase_P_RNA from 2 species